AUUGAACGCUGGCGGCAGGCCUAACACAUGCAAGUCGAACGAGUGGCGGACGGGUGAGUAAUGUCUGGGAAACUGCCUGAUGGAGGGGGAUAACUACUGGAAACGGUAGCUAAUACCGCAUACCAUCAGAUGUGCCCAGAUGGGAUUAGCUUGUUGGUGGGGUAACGGCUCACCAAGGCGACGAUCCCUAGCUGGUCUGAGAGGAUGACAAGCCACCCUGGAACUGAGACACGGCCCAGACCCAAACGGGAGGCAGCGGUGGGGAAUAUUGCACAGUGGGCGCAAGCCUGAUGCAGCCCUGCCGCGUGUAGGGAGAAGGCCAUCGGGUGGUAAAGUACUUUCACCGAGGAGGCUUUACUAGCAGAAGAAGCACCGGCUAACUCCGUGCCAGCAGCCGCGGUAAUUC
rnacentral:rRNA from 1 species